AGACUUGAUCAAACCCUUCCUGAAGCUUACUGGAGAAGAAAGAUUCAACUGACAAGCCUGUGAGUCCUAAAAGAAGAAAUGCAGAUUGCUAAGGCAUCAAGGAUUGGGGACUUCACUGAAUCUUGGGGGGUCAAGAAGGGGUCCCCAGAAAGGUGAUGCUCUUGCAGAGACUUGAUGCACAUAAAAGGAGCUUGGGACUUUGGAAGUGGUUUUAAACAUCAGUUCUUGCUCCCUCUGCCUGGGAUCGUUUCCUCACCAAUACCUGCUGGCUUUGAAUGGGUUUAAGAAACUCCCUCCCCCUUUAGGGAACUUAUGCAGCUGAAGAGAAAUGGAUGCUGGGAACUGCUUCCAGGGACCUGGAAAUUGAUGAAGACACACACAAGGGCUGCACCUGUGGCCGAUGGAGGUUCCCAGGAUAGGGGCCAAAUCGGAGCUAUAGCUGCCUGGCCUACACAACAGCUACGGCAAUGCCAGAUUCUUAACCCGCUGAUCCAGGCAAGGGAUUGAACCUGAGUCCUCAUGGAUACUAGCAAGGUUCAUUAUCACUGAGCGAGAACUUUGCUUUUCCCUUUUAAAUGUAAUAGUUCGCAUCUACUACCCCCAAACGUCCAGGCUAUCCCACUGUCUCUCCCAAUCCCUUUGGCAACCUCAAGUCUUUUCUCCAUGUUGGUGACUCUGUUUCUGUUCUGUUGAUAGGCACACUUGUGCCACAUUUUAGAUUCUACAUAUAGGUGAUAUCAUACAGUGUUUGUCUUUCUGUGACUCUAGGGUUUGAGGAGAGGUCUGGGGUAGAUCAACAUGUAAGAAUCUCUGACCUGUGCACCGUAUUUAAAGCCCUGGGUAAGAUCACUAUGGAAGUGAGUCUAGAUGGAUGAGAGAAGCAGCCAGAGGCCUCAGCUGUCCUGCCUCUCAAAGUGGUGCAAGAGGAACCCAUUACACCUGAAGAAAUCAAAUCUGGGGGAGUCAAGCAAUUGGCUUCACAGUGAGCAGCAGAGAUGGGAAUCUAAGCUCAUUGGUCUGGCUCUGAAGUCUGCGUGAUUAACCCCUUAGCAAUAGUCCAAAGGCUGGAGCAAAGAAGUCUUUUCCUGGAGACAUGAAUCAUGGCUGGUUGGCCAGGGCCACACCUCUAACUAUGCUGGGAUAGCAAGCUGUGCCCUCAGGUUUGAGCAAAUAAGACACCUCACUUUUGCUGGUAAAACCAGACGACACAUCCAUCAGCUCCACCUGGUGUAGUACUCAAGGCCCUCGAGGGAGCCAGAAAGAUCUGGUAAUUAAGAAAGAUUCCUUUCCUGAGCUGCAGUGGGUCACAGUGACUGUCAGGGUUAAAAGAUUGAUGGCUUAAUAAAGACCACCUGAAAAGGCAAUUGACCAGCAAGGGAAAAAAAGCAUUGCCACACACCCACUACCGCAGAGUCUCCAUUCAGAGACCCUCCAGCAUAGCAAAGCUGCUUGGAACACUCUGCACCACACAGCACUUGGCCCCAUUUUAUAGCUGCGAACCAUCUUCAGCCACCACAGGAUGCCUCCCUUUAUUCUCUGCAGUGAUAAACGGGACUAUCUUCCUGGUUCCUUGACUGGAGAUGCAGAGGCUACAAGACGUGUCCCUUGCUCUCAGGAGUUCACCGUGUCAUGGGACCAUGAUGAUGUUCAAGAUUCUCAAUAAGCCUAGGAUAUCCUUCUGCAAAACUGCAUUUCUCUAGUGGCCUGGAGAACAAGAGCCCAGAGUGUAAUAGAUGCUUGACAAAUUAUCCAGGGGACUGUGUGUGGAGUCAUAGAGAAAGGGCCCAGAUCUGAGAAUUACGACCAGCCCUGCAGCUCCUCCUCUGCUAAAAAACUAGCUUCUUGACUUCAGAUAAGUCAUUCUUCUUGAAUCUUAGUUUGCCCAUCUGUCAAAAAAGGGGGUUAGAGUAAAUGAUCUUUGGAGAUCUUUGAGAUCUAGGACUGGGAUUUGAAAGGUUUGAAAACCCCAGUAAAAACUCUGUCCUAAAAUCCUGUUAAAUCCCCAAAGGUGUCUUUCACAGGACAGGCAUCCUAGAGGGUUUGAGAGGAGGGAGCAGCUGCAUGUCUCCUGCGUGCCAUCGGCCCUUCUCUUUGUCAAGCCAUCCCUUCCCCAGUACUCCUCAGAUCCCAGCUCCUCAGGGGUUCAGGCUGAUGGGAAACUUGGCUGGACAGGUUGUCAUAGGACCUCCCAGCAGUGGCAAAAUGGAAACUCUGUGUGUUACCCUUGCCUCUUCCAGUGUCUGCCAGCAUCAGUGCCUGUGUGGGUUGGGUAGAGCUUCCUCAUGCCUGGGGCCAAGUGGCACUGCAACUGUGAAUUCAGGCAGAUUAAGGCAGAUGGAGAAGAGGAAAGGUACUCUUUUCAUUAUAUACAUCCUGAAAGAGAACUUGCUAUAUAUGCAAGGAGGAAGUUGCUGUCUGGUACUCCUCAUGAGGUGUUUUCCUAAGGCAGACCUUCUCUUGGGACUGCUCCCUCCGUCCGUGUUGCCAGCACAUCAGUUCUAGCCUGGCUUUUUUUCUCAGCAGGAUGAUUAUGAAGCCUCCAGUGAGAAUCUGUCUCCAAUCUCCUUUCAAUCCAUUUUUUUUUUUUUUUAAAUUAAGGAACUGGAGUUAUCCAUUUAAAGAAAAACAAAAGAAAGUUCCCAUUGUGGCUCAGCAGGCUAAGGGCCCGAAAUAGGCUCUGUGACAGUGUGGGUUUGAUCCCUGGCCUCGCUCAGUGGGUUCAGGAUCCGGCACUGGUUUCGAGCUGUGGCGUUAAGUCACAUAUGCAGCUCUGAUCUGGUGUUGCUGUGGCUGCGGUGUAGGCCAGCAGCUGCAGCUUGGAUUCCACCCCUAGCCUGGAAACUUCCUUAUGCUGCCGGUGUGGCUGUGAAAAGAAAAAAA
rnacentral:lncRNA from 1 species